rnacentral:lncRNA from 1 species
UUCCAACCAAUAAUUUCGCCAUAACUAUCGCACAUUAUAUGAAUUUUCGUAACCGACUUGGAGUGAGCAUUAGAUGAUUAACAUUGUGGUUGGAUUCUUAUAACCCGUUAAAACCUGGUCUCACAAGUUCACACGCUCCACCAAAGUUCACCCAUAACCGCCGAACACCCAUCACCGCAACCCACCGGAAACGCCGCCGCAGGUCCGCCGUUUUGGCCACCGUCACCACUACCAUCACCGCGAAGCAGUGUAUAUUGGUGCCGCCCUCGGUUUAUUUUUGUAGGCGACCACAUAAAUCGUAUCCCCGAAAUUAACUCGUUGUUUUGCUCGCCGUCAGUAAAGGUUCGUAUACUAUUUGGGGACGAUUUGAUUUCUAUGUUACUUGGUUUUGCUUUGCCAAAUUAAGUAUAUGUUUCUGUAAUAUGGGAUGAUCUGGGAUUUCAGUGAAGAGCGUUAGGAAGUUGCUAGUCAAGAUUCUUUAUUUCAGUAAU